rnacentral:rRNA from 1 species
ACUCCUACGGGAGGCAGCAGUAGGAAGUCUUCCGACAAUGGGCGCAAGCCUGAUGGAGCAACACCGCGUGAGUGAAGAAGGGUUUCGGCUCGUAAAGCUCUGUUGUUAAAGAAGAACACGUAUGAGAGUAACUGUUCAUACGUUGACGGUAUUUAACCAGAAAGUCACGGCUAACUACGUGCCAGCAGCCGCGGUAAUACGUAGGUGGCAAGCGUUAUCCGGAUUUAUUGGGCGUAAAGAGAGUGCAGGCGGUUUUCUAAGUCUGAUGUGAAAGCCUUCGGCUUAACCGGAGAAGUGCAUCGGAAACUGGAUAACUUGAGUGCAGAAGAGGGUAGUGGAACUCCAUGUGUAGCGGUGGAAUGCGUAGAUAUAUGGAAGAACACCAGUGGCGAAGGCGGCUACCUGGUCUGCAACUGACGCUGAGACUCGAAAGCAUGGGUAGCGAACAGGAUUAGAUACCCUGGUAGGAUAGCG